rnacentral:rRNA from 1 species
GACGUAGGGUGCGAGCGUUGUCCGGAUUUAUUGGGCGUAAAGAGCUCGUAGGCGGCUCGUCGCGUCGACCGUGAAAACCCGCGGCUUAACUGCGGGCUUGCGGUUGAUACGGUCGGGCUAGAGUUCGGUAGGGGAGACUGGAAUUCCUGGUGUAGCGGUGAAAUGCGCAGAUAUCAGGAGGAACACCGGUGGCGAAGGCGGGUCUCUGGGCCGAUACUGACGCUGAGGAGCGAAAGCGUGGGGAGCGAACAGG